AACUAACGCUGGCGGCGUGCCUAACACAUGCAAGUCGUACGAGAAAGUCGGCUUCGGCUGAUGAGUAAAGUGGCGCACGGGUGAGUAACGCGUGGAUAAUCUGCCCUUGAGUGUGGAAUAACGUACCGAAAGGUGCGCUAAUACCGCAUAAUGCCUGGCAACACAAGUUGUCCGGCCAAAGAAGGCCUCUGUUUACAAGCUUUUGCUCAAGGAUGAGUCCGCGUACCAUUAGCUAGUUGGUGGGGUAACGGCCUACCAAGGCUACGAUGGUUAGCUGGUCUGAGAGGAUGAUCAGCCACACUGGAACUGAGACACGGUCCAGGCUCCUACGGGAGGCAGCAGUGAGGAAUAUUGCGCAAUGGGGGCAACCCUGACGCAGCAACGCCGCGUGAGUGAGGAAGGUUUUCGGACUGUAAAGCUCUGUCGAGCGGGAAGAAAUGUACCAUGGCUAAUAUCCAUGAUAUUUGACGGUACCGCUAGAGG
rnacentral:rRNA from 1 species